rnacentral:lncRNA from 10 species
GCUGGAUGUCAAGAGGAGCACAACAGAGGAGGAACACAGAGGUGGCUAGACACAGAGAGUAACACACUGACGGCUGGACAUACGGAGUAAAACACCGACAGGCACGGGCACCCUGGCAGGCCACCGACCAUUAGAAAUAGAAUGACAUGGAGUUUAGCUGGGGCAGUCAGAGGAGAGCCCAGGCUGCUGAACGGCUCGACUCUAGGGGAAACCCUUCCCACUCCACCCCUUCUGACUUUCCGAGAGCUGCUUCCACCCAAUAAAACCUUGCAAUCAUUCUCCAAGCCCAGGUGUGAUCAGAUUCUUUCGGUACAUCAAGGAUCUCUCCCUGUGGUGCCUAGGUUGGUUUAAAACUCUUGGCCUCAAGCGAUCCUCCCACCUUGAAUUCCCAAAGCAAGGUGCUAUUAGUAAUUGGCUCAGAGAACUCGCCAUUAGGGGCAGUGCAUCACUUAACAAUGGCUGGGCGUGAAAGAGAUUUACAGAAAAGUUGUGAAGAUGGUGCAGAAAUGUCCCAUAUACCUUUCACCCAGCUUCUCCUGUUGUUAGUGCCUUACAUGAUGAUGGUGUGUCCGGAAUGGGUGGGUUCUUGGUCUCACUGACUUCAAGAAUG